rnacentral:lncRNA from 1 species
GUGAUUAGAUUAGAUGAUCCGAUUAGCAAGUACUUGGAUUGGGUUAAUUACCAGGUCGUCCGGCCAUAGGAGCAAGAAAAGUUUAAAGGCCCUCUCUUUCUAUUUGAUGGGAUGCUCUUAUGAUGUGUAGAGGUGCCAUAUGAUUAGAUCCCAUGAAGAAGAACGCGAAAGGAGAAAACUUACUUUCUUGCAAAAUUCG